GACGAACCUUGGCGGCGUGCUUAACACAUGCAAGUCGAACGGAAAGGCCCUGCUUUUGUGGGGUGCUCGAGUGGCGAACGGCUGAGUAACACGUGAGUAACCUGCCCUUGACUUUGGGAUAACUUCAGGAAACUGGGGCUAAUACCGGAUAGGAGCUCCUGCUGCAUGGUGGGGGUUGGAAAGUUUCGGCGGUUGGGGAUGGACUCGCGGCUUAUCAGCUUGUUGGUGGGGUAGUGGCUUACCAAGGCUUUGACGGGUAGCCGGCCUGAGAGGGUGACCGGCCACAUUGGGACUGAGAUACGGCCCAGACUCCUACGGGAGGCAGCAGUGGGGAAUAUUGCACAAUGGGCGGAAGCCUGAUGCAGCAACGCCGCGUGCGGGAUGACGGCCUUCGGGUUGUAAACCGCUUUCGCCUGUGACGAAGCGUGAGUGACGGUAAUGGGUAAAGAAGCACCGGCUAACUACGUGCCAGCAGCCGCGGUGAUACGUAGGGUGCGAGCGUUGUCCGGAUUUAUUGGGCGUAAAGGGCUCGUAGGUGGUUGAUCGCGUCGGAAGUGUAAUCUUGGGGCUUAACCCUGAGCGUGCUUUCGAUACGGGUUGACUUGAGGAAGGUAGGGGAGAAUGGAAUUCCUGGUGGAGCGGUGGAAUGCGCAGAUAUCAGGAGGAACACCAGUGGCGAAGGCGGUUCUCUGGGCCUUUCCUGACGCUGAGGAGCGAAAGCGUGGGGAGCGAACAGGCUUAGAUACCCUGGUAGUCCACGCUGUAAACGGUGGGUACUAGGUGUGGGGUCCAUUCCACGGGUUCCGUGCCGUAGCUAACGCUUUAAGUACCCCGCCUGGGGAGUACGGCCGCAAGGCUAAAACUCAAAGGAAUUGACGGGGCCCCGCACAAGCGGCGGAGCAUGCGGAUUAAUUCGAUGCAACGCGUAGAACCUUACCUGGGUUUGACAUGGAUCGGGAGCGCUCAGAGAUGGGUGUGCCUCUUUUGGGGUCGGUUCACAGGUGGUGCAUGGCUGUCGUCAGCUCGUGUCGUGAGAUGUUGGGUUAAGUCCCGCAACGAGCGCAACCCUUGUUCACUGUUGCCAGCACGUUAUGGUGGGGACUCAGUGGAGACCGCCGGGGUCAACUCGGAGGAAGGUGGGGAUGACGUCAAGUCAUCAUGCCCCUUAUGUCCAGGGCUUCACGCAUGCUACAAUGGCUGGUACAGAGAGUGGCGAGCCUGUGAGGGUGAGCGAAUCUCGGAAAGCCGGUCCCGGUUCGGAUUGGGGUCUGCAACUCGACCUCAUGAAGUCGGAGUCGCUAGUAAUCGCAGAUCAGCAACGCUGCGGUGAAUACGUUCCCGGGGCU
rnacentral:rRNA from 1 species